GAUGAACGCUGGCGGCGUGCCUAAUACAUGCAAGUCGAGCGAACAGACGAGGAGCUUGCUCCUCUGACGUUAGCGGCGGACGGGUGAGUAACACGUGGAUAUCCUACCUAUAAGACUGGGAUAACUUCGGGAAACCGGAGCUAAUACCGGAUAAUAUAUUGAACCGCAUGGUUCAAUAGUGAAAGACAGUUUUGCUGUCACUUAUAGAUGGAUCCGCGCCGCAUUAGCUAGUUGGUAAGGUAACGGCUUACCAAGGCAACGAUGCGUAGCCGACCUGAGAGGGUGAUCGGCCACACUGGAACUGAGACACGGUCCAGACUCCUACGGGAGGCAGCAGUAGGGAAUCUUCCGCAAUGGGCGAAAGCCUGACGGAGCAACGCCGCGUGAGUGAUGAAGGUCUUCGGAUCGUAAAACUCUGUUAUUAGGGAAGAACAAAUGUGUAAGUAACUAUGCACGUCUUGACGGUACCUAAUCAGAAAGCCACGGCUAACUACGUG
rnacentral:rRNA from 1 species